CCCUUAGAUGUUCUGGGCCGCACGCGCGCUACACUGACGAAUGCAACGAGCUUAUAACCUUGGCCGAAAGGUCUGGGUAAUCUCCAAAUUUCGUCGUGAUGGGGAUAAAUUAUUGCAAUUAUUAAUCUUCAACGAGGAAUGCCUAGUAAGCGCAAGUCAUCAGCUUGCGUUGAUUACGUCCCUGCCCUUUGUACACACCGCCCGUCGCUCCUACCGAUUGAAUGGUCCGGUGAAGCGUUCGGACCGUGGCCUUUGGACGGUUCGCCGUCUGUUGGCUGCGGGAAGUUCGUUAAACCUUAUCAUUUAGAGGAAGGAGAAGUCGUAACA
rnacentral:rRNA from 1 species